GUUCCGGUAGCCUAGUGGUUAGAGCGUCCGCCUCGGAUGCGGGAGAAUGUGGGUUCGAUCCCAGGUCGAGUCA